ACCGCCCUCGUGUCUGUGGUGGUUGCAUCCCGUGGCCGUGUUUUCCUGGUGGCCCGGCUGUGCCUGAGGUUUC
rnacentral:miRNA from 1 species